rnacentral:rRNA from 1 species
AGCUCCAAUAGCGUAUAUUAAAGUUGUUGCAGUUAAAAAGCUCGUAGUUGGAUUUGUGGCUGUCGUGGACGGCCUAGCACUCAGUGCCAGCGCUCUGCCGCGUCGCCAUCUUUGGGUGGAACUUGUGUGGCAUUAGGUUGUCGUGCAGGGGAUGCCCAUCUUUUACUGUGAGAAAAUUAGAGUGUUCAAAGCAGGCUUAUGCCGUUGAAUAUGUUAGCAUGGAAUAAUGAGAUAGGACCUUGGUACUAUUUUGUUGGUUUGCGCACCAAGGUAAUGAUUAAUAGGGACAGUUGGGGGUAUUCGUAUUCCAUUGUCAGAGGUGAAAUUCUUGGAUUUUUGGAAGACGAACUACUGCGAAAGCAUUUACCAAGGAUGUUUUCAUUAAUCAAGAACGAAAGUA